rnacentral:lncRNA from 10 species
AGUGACUUGAUCUCGGCGCUGGCAGAUGGUGGAGCUAUCAGAGCUGCAGCUGCCUUGGCUGCACACAUCCCUCUCGAGGGAGCUUUCCAGUCAUUUAGCUCCACUGCGGACUCAGAGCCAAAAUUAACAGUCUCCGGUGGGCCCUCAAAGCUCACCACCCACCCAAACACUCUGGCUUGCUGUCAUUCAACAGAUAGCCAGUGGGGAGCGGGGCCCAGACUCACCCUCCCUGCCCACCACCCGCAAGAGGAAACAGCACCACCACCUCUUGUGCCACAGCUGGGCCGGUCCCAGGAAGAAGCCAGCUGGGACUUGGAGUGACAAGCCUUCCCUCUGAUGUGUGUGCAGGGGGUGCCUGGUACAGAGGGACAGCAACCACAGAGCACUGCAGACGCCAAGACAUGACCUGGGAGAAGCAGCAGCCCCGGGAGAGGCUUAACUAGCAGAGCACUGAGGCCCACCGACAGCCAUGUGCAUGAGCUUGGAAGCACAUCUCCCCAACCCACCCCAGUCAAGCCUGCAGAUGAGACCUCAGCUGCAGCUGACAACUCGGCUACAACUUUGUGAGAGACCUGGAGCCAAAAGCACCUAGCUAAGCUGUGCCUGUAUUUCUGACCCACAGAAACUCUGAGGGAGAAGGUGGCAUUUGCAAGCCAGAAAGAGAGCCCACACCAGAAACCGAAUUGGCUGGCACCUUGAUCUUGGACAUCCCAGACUACAUAACUAUAUGAAAAUAAAUUUGUUAUUUAAG